rnacentral:rRNA from 1 species
GAUGAACGCUGGCGGCGUGCCUAAUACAUGCAAGUCGAGCGAACAGACGAGGAGCUUGCUCCUCUGACGUUAGCGGCGGACGGGUGAGUAACACGUGGAUAACCUACCUAUAAGACUGGAAUAACUUCGGGAAACCGGAGCUAAUACCGGAUAAUAUAUUGAACCGCAUGGUUCAAUAGUGAAAGACGGUUUUGCUGUCACUUAUAGAUGGAUCCGCGCCGCAUUAGCUAGUUGGUAAGGUAACGGCUUACCAAGGCAACGAUGCGUAGCCGACCUGAGAGGGUGAUCGGCCACACUGGAACUGAGACACGGUCCAGACUCCUACGGGAGGCAGCAGUAGGGAAUCUUCCGCAAUGGGCGAAAGCCUGACGGAGCAACGCCGCGUGAGUGAUGAAGGUCUCCGGAUCGUAAAACUCUGUUAUUAGGGAAGAACAAAUGUGUAAGUAACUAUGCACGUCUUGACGGUACCUAAUCAGAAAGCCACGGCUAACUACGUG